GAGCUAUCAUAUCAUGUGAUAUCUCUCCACUACCUCUUGUUGGAGCAAAAGUAGUGCAACUUUUUUAGUCAUUUGGUGAAAAUAAACAAGAAAACAAGAAGCUGCCAUUCUACCAAGCAGCAAAUAACAACAACUGCUACUACUACCGCUAGUAGUGGCUGUAUAUAUUAUACUAUCUUUAUAUGAACAUUGUUACAUUUAUCUAGGCUGCAAGACUCGAGAACACUACGAUCAAGAAGGGACAACAGGAAUCCUUUCAUCGUAAAAAUUGCGCCACAUGAAGGAAGCUAGUGAAAGCUGAGUAUGUGGGUAGCUCCUCUAGCUCAUCAAAGAAGUCAUUUUCUUCUGAUUUGGGCGCUGCAAGUGUCAUCAGUGCAGGGCAUGAGACGGGCUCUUCAUCCAAGAGAAUACCCGCAGUUUUUUCUGCAGGAUUCUCAGUGAAAGGGUCUUCUUGGCUAAUCAUGAUAUCUUGAGAACAAUUUACUGGGGAUUGUAAGUAGUGGAAAUUGUGACUUUCAUUGUCAUCUUUAUGGCUGAUAGCCAUAGUCUGUUGAUUCUGAUUCUCCCUUUCCUGUUGUUCUCGUUUUGGAGUUGUAGGAUGAUCUUCAGUGGAUUGUGUUUGGGAGUCUUUUAUUUGUUGGUUCAGGUUGGUGUUGAGGAGAUCAGGACCUGGGUGGUUGUGGGUAGAGGUAUAAGUAAUGAUCAGUACUGAAGCAUCUGUUCUGCAUCUCUCCACUUG
rnacentral:misc_RNA from 1 species